rnacentral:rRNA from 1 species
UACAGAGGGGGCAAGCGUUGUUCGGAAUUACUGGGCGUAAAGGGCGCGUAGGCGGUCUUCUAAGUCUUGUGUGAAAUCCCUCGGCUCAACUGAGGAACUGCACGGGAUACUGGAAGACUUGAGUUCGGGAGAGGGAAGCGGAAUUCCGGGUGUAGCGGUGAAAUGCGUAGAUAUCCGGAGGAAAACCGGUGGCGAAGGCGGCUUCCUGGACCGAUUACUGACGCUGAGGCGCGAAAGCUAGGGGAGCAAACGGG